UUACGGUCAAAUCACGCUGAAAACACCGGUUCUCGUUCGAUCACCGAAGUUGAAAACACCGGUUCUCGUAGAGCCAGGUCAGUACUUAGAUGGGGGACCGCUUGGGAACACCUGGUACUGUAAG